ensembl:snRNA U6 U6 spliceosomal RNA
GGGCUCACUUGGGCAACACAUAUAUUAAAAUAGUAACGAUACAGAGAAGAUUAGUAUGGCCCCUGUGCAGAGACACACAAAACAUGGUUCCUGAAUUCAAAUUGCUU